UGGAGAGCCAGCGAGGCGAGCGACCAGCACGCCGUCGUGUCUCCAUCCCUCCCUCCCCCGCUCUCCCAUUACUCCUCAUCUCGGCGCCGAGGCGAGCGAGCGAGGCAUCUCGUGGCGUGACGAUGCUCCCGAGGUGGCUUUUCCUCGCGCUGCUGCUCGUCGCGCUCGCCGCCGGGUCGGUGGCGACGCAGGACGCGGCGGUGGAGGGCGUGGCGCCGGCGGCGGAGGAGAUCGUGGCGAACGCGAUGGCCAAGGAGGCGGCGGUGCUGGCGGCCGAGCUGGGCCAGCUCAGGGCGAAGAUCUCCGCCUUAGAGUCACGCAUUGCAGAGCAGACCCUGGAGUUGAAGACCAAGGACGAUGCAAAUGAAACACUGAAAAAGGUUAUCGAGCAGGAGUCACAAAAGAUAGCUACUCUGCAGAGUGAGAUAACUUCUGUCAAGGCAAAGGGGUCUUUAGCUGCAGAGGAGCAGGCAAGCAAGGCCAAUGUGCAGGCUAUUGAGCUUGAGAAGCAGAUCGAUAAGCUCAAGAAGGAUAUUAAAGCCCAAAAUAGCAAAAAGGCAGCUCUCGAAGCCAGGGCUGGUGAUGCAGAGAAGAAGGUGCAAGAGCUGAAUGGGAAGCUGGAGAAACUCCAGAGGACAAGCAACGAGCAAAAGCGCAGGAUCCAGAAGACUGAACUUGCUCUUAGAGCUGCUGAGGAGGAGCUGAUGAAGGUGCAGUUAGAAACAACAACAAAAUUGAAACAGCCGAGAGAGGUUCAUGGAGCAUGGUUGCCACCUUGGUUAGCGACACAUGCAGCUCACUCAAUGGAGGUGAUGGCGGACCACUGGAACGAACAUGGGAAACCUGUUGUCAACAGUUUAUUGGAAAAGGCAUCAGAAAAAUCAGCGGAGGCAAAGAAAUGGGCCAAGCCCCAUCUUGAAACUGCUAAGGCAAAAUGGACAUCUGCUGCUAAGGAAAACUGGGUUACCUUGAAGAAAAAUGGAGAACCUUAUGUGCAAAUGGUCUCAACAAAAUUAGUAGAGGUUUAUCAAGCAUCAAGGGACUUUAUCACACCCCAUCUUCUGAAUGCACGUGAAGCCGCUGAUCCCUACUUGCAGGAAGCAAAGAAGAGAUCCAAACCUUAUAUUGAUCAAGUUGCUACAGCCACUAAACCACAUGUUGAGAAAAUUGGAACUGCCCUGAAGCCUUAUACUAAACGAUCAGUUCGUGUAUAUGGAAUUUUUGUUGAGAAGGCUACUACAUAUCAUCAGCAGGCUCACGGAACUAUCUUGGAUUACCUUCACCAACAUGAAUUUACGAAACAAUUUGCGACUGAAGAGGUGGCCUGGUAUCUGGCUUCUGCUUGGCUGGUUAUGCACGUUUUGGUUUUGUACAUGCUCCUAGUUGAAACAUUCUGCUCCAAGAAGCAGAAGAGAUCCCCACGGAAUGGUAAUGCCAACCAUGGUCAUCGAAGACAUAAGCGCCGGCAUGCUGACAAGUAGACCAUAGAUAAACACUUCCAGGUUUUUCUGCGGUGUGCCACAUUGUAGUUGCAGAAGAUUGUGAAGUAUGAUCAUACCUUCCACUGAUGAGUUUGUUGGAUGGCAUACACUCUAUGGUGAUCCGGGGUCAUCUAUCGCUGAACCUUGCUGUGUAUCUACGAGUUGGACGACACACAAAAGCUGCGUUUUUACCCCCCAUGUUUGGGCAUAGUUUGUUGUGGCUUUGUUUCUGCACUCGCG